AGCGCCCGCAAGGGAGCGCAGACGGGUAAGUACACGUGGGAACGUACCCUUCAGUUCGGAACAACCCACCGAAACUUGGGCUAAUACCGGAUACGUCCGUAAGGAGAAAGAUUUAUCGCUGAGGGAUCGGCCCGCGUCUGAUUAGCUAGUUGGUGGGGUAAUGGCCCACCAAGGCUACGAUCAGUAGCUGGUCUGAGAGGAUGAUCAGCCACAUUGGGACUGAGCCACGGNCCAAACUCCUACGGGAGGCAGCAGUGGGGAAUAUUGGACAAUGGGGGCAACCCUGAUCCAGCCAUGCCGCGUGAGUGAUGAAGGCCCUAGGGUUGUAAAGCUCUUUUAGCAGGGAAGAUAAUGACGGUACCUGCAGAAAAAGCCCCGGCUAACUUCGUGCCCAGCAGUCGCGGUAAUACGAAGGGGGCUAGCGUUGCUCGGAAUCACUGGGCGUAAAGCGCA
rnacentral:rRNA from 1 species